rnacentral:lncRNA from 1 species
UUUUGAUGUAAGUAGGAAUGAUGAGUAGGGUGAAGUCACAGGUAAACAACCCAAAACGAAUUUCCAUGCCCUCCCCACGGAUCCUAAAGCAGGGACUGGAGAUGGGGAGAGAGGCUAGAUGUACUUGGAACAAAAUUCACCUUGUAUUUAUUACCUGGGCGCUGGUGUUUUUUGAAAAAAGCAAACAAGAUAACCAUAUUAGUCUGAUGCUGAGACUAUGCCCUAUCUGUAAGAAUCCUUGGGCUGGGCGCGGUGGCUCACCCUUGUAAUCCCAACACUUGGAGGCCAAGGUGAUCUGCCCCCCUCAGCCUCCCAGAGUGCAAGGAUUACAGGCGUGAGCCACCGCACCCCACCUCCCGGCCUUUUCUCUUGUUUCAUUUUGGUAAACUAAAUUAGUUUAAUACCUCUACCCCAUCGGUGGUUGGAAUUCCCCACCUCAAUCAUUUUGGGGGCUCUCUGCCUCCUUUGAAUAGGACAGAUCUCCAGGGGUUUACCCAGGCUCCGAAGAGCCACUCCAGGCAGCCGGCUGUUUGGGGAGGUGCACCCUGGUCUUCUAGUCUGCGGAUUCCCUGCAUCGCUCCCCUGGUACUGCUCUCAAGCUCAAGGGUCACCUCAGCCAGAUGUGCCCUAGGCUGGCAGAGGUCCUUCCCCUAAAUGCAGCUGGGCAGGAUGCCACCCUUUCUACAAUAAGUUCGGUCCCAGGGAUUCCCCCAACACACACACACAUACAUUCUCUCUUACUCACAUCCUCACACACACUCACACACCCCACCACACUCACACACUUUCAAAAUCCACCGACUCUCACGCUCACACUCGCCAGCCCUUUCCCUUGCUCUGUCACUUCCCUCCAAGUCCCCGCCCCACACAGCCUCCUGCAGUCCCAGCCCCCUUGGUGCCAGCCAUCUCUGGUGCCAGCCAUCUCCCCCAAAUAUCCACCCUUCUGGGCUCCUUUCUGCCCAGAGGGACCUGAAGUUUCCCUAGGAAGCACUUGCUAAAGGCCUCCAGUCUCCAACUCCUGGGGAAGAAGGAUCCAGGCCUCUGCCGCACAAAGCCUCCACUGUUCUCUUGGGGCUGGCACCCCUUCCUGUGGCCCUGUGGCACCAAACAAAUUGAUUCAUCCAGCGAAUAUUUCUUAUUUACUCUGUUCCACAUGGUGGUGAGUGAAUCAACCCUGGACUCUCCCCACAAAGGACUUAAGAACACGCAGGUCAUGAACAAAUGAACACUUUUGCAUAAUUUUUAUGACCAACGGUGACCAGGCCAAGAGCAGGAUGAGGUGAUGGAGAAUACCUUGGCCUGGGGCAUCGGAGGAAACUCUUGCGAGGAUGUGCUACCUCCGUUGAAAGUGGGAAGAUGAGAGACCGGCUGUAAGAGGAGCAAGGGAAGGAGGUUCUGGAAUGAGAGAACAGCACGAACAAAAUGCCCGAGACAGGAGCGAGCUUGGCACCUUCAAGAAAAUAAAGAGGAGAAUCACUGAACCUGGCACGUGGAGGUUGCAAUGAGCUGAGAUCGCGCCACUGCACUCCAGCCUGCGAGACAGAGCGAGACUCCAUCUCAAAAAAAAAAAAAAAAAAAAAAAGGAAAGAAAAGGAGGCCAUUGGGAUGGCUGAGGCUGGAAGGGUGGACCAGGUGCCCCACAGGCAAGAGGUCCCAACUAUAGAUGAAGCACGCAGGCUACAGACAGGUCUUUUAUUGAAUCAUCUAAAUAUCACAGAUACUUAGGUCUGAGGAGUCAUCCAACAUCGUGUUUCUGUAGCUGGACAACUCUUAGAACCUCCUCA